GUCUAAUCUUAGACUAUCACAUAAUGAUAUAUGAUAUAAAAAAUAUAUAUUUUAGAUCUAAAAAUAAAAAUUAUAUCGACCUUAUCGAUGCUAAAAACCUAGAUCUAACUAUUAAAUCUAUCAGUAUGAUCAGAAUAAGUUAAAGAUUAUUACCAAACAAAUUUGAUGUUAGUCUCCUCUGAUCCAAUGGUUGGAGAAGGUAUUCCUCAGAUUGCUCGUAGCCACAUGAAGUCAUCUGACCUUUACAGAAAAUCCAUGCGAAGAUUGGUACAGAUCAGGGGCUUGGAGGUGCUAGUCUGCAAGCAACUUCGACAGCUGAUCUCUUCCUUCUUCUUCAAGCAAAUUAGACACUCCAAGUAACAGGAGAUCUGGAAGAGGAAGAGAGAAAGAGGAGAAGAGGCUCUGAAAAUAAAAACACCAGCAAGGGAGAAGAGAAGCAUGACACGAAAGAGGAGGACCACCCUUUUUAUAGACUAGGAAUUAGGGUUUCACCAAGGAAAGGGCACCAAGAGUCCAUGCCAAAACCACUUUUGGCAUCCCAAAAAAUUUCAGAAACAUCACUAUGGCAUAGAGA
rnacentral:lncRNA from 1 species